GACGAACGCUGGCGGCGUGCUUAACACAUGCAAGUCGAACGGAAAGGCCCUGCUUGCAGGGUACUCGAGUGGCGAACGGGUGAGUAACACGUGGGUGAUCUGCCCUGCACUUCGGGAUAAGCCUGGGAAACUGGGUCUAAUACCGGAUAGGAGCCAUUUUUAGUGUGAUGGUUGGAAAGUUUUUUCGGUGUAGGAUGAGCUCGCGGCCUAUCAGCUUGUUGGUGGGGUAAUGGCCUACCAAGGCGGCGACGGGUAGCCGGCCUGAGAGGGUGGACGGCCACAGUGGGACUGAGAUACGGCCCAGACUCCUACGGGAGGCAGCAGUGGGGAAUAUUGCACAAUGGGCGCAAGCCUGAUGCAGCGACGCCGCGUGGGGGAUGACGGCCUUCGGGUUGUAAACUCCUUUCGCUAGGGACGAAGCUUUUUGUGACGGUACCUAGAUAAGAAGCACCGGCUAACUACGUG
rnacentral:rRNA from 1 species